rnacentral:lncRNA from 1 species
CUGCCACUACAAAACAUUACGAAAACAUUGUUAUUACUUACCAAAAAAUGCAACUAAAUAAAAUACCAAAACUUUAACUUACCUUUGGGUUUCCGGAAGCCAUUGCAACUGCACAAAAAAUCAAUGGUGGAUUAGGGUUCACAAAAAAAAAAAGAAUAAAUAACGCCAAAGAGACCCAAAAUGCCAAAGAGAGCGAAAGAGAAGCCAGACAAUGCGAAAGAGAGCGAAAAAGCUGAAACAGAGCCACAACGCCAAAAAGACCCAAAACACGAAACGCAAAAGAGAGCUUACCUCAACAGAGUGAUUGUGAAAGAGCUCUUUUUUGGUUGAAAUGAGGUCUUUGGAUGAGACGAAAGCCGAAUGGAGAAUGCAAGGGAUUAGAGAGAUGAAGCCGAAUGGGAGAGACGAAUGGAAGAGAAAGUUCAUAACCAAAGUGAACAAGAGAAGAAAACGAAACCGCCAAAAUGAAAUUUCAUAUCAUCAUAAUUCCAAAACUACCCUCCUCAACAACGUUUUUUAUUUAAGUGACAACAUCCAAUAGAAAUUUGACACCUGGCCGGUGUCAAAUUUGUGUCAAAAAGGGGUGUUAAAGAAACAUUUUCAUAUAGGUUAUUGUUAAACUGAGAUUGGUUGCACAAAAUCAGAACAAACUAGAUUUUCCCACUAAUGUAGUAAAGGGACAACCUAGGUAUCAAUCCUCAGACUCGACUAAAAUUAAGUUUAAAGUGUAAAGUUUUGUCUUGUAUUUUAUUUACUUUUAACUAACUAACAAGGUGGAGAAAUAAUAAAAAAAAAUAUGAAAACAAUGAAAUUAAAAAUGAAAAGAAAACUAAACUAUAAUCUGUUUAAAAGAAAAGAAGGAAAUUGAAUUGAAAUGAAAUGAAAGAAAAUAGAACUCUAAGCUACCUAUGACAGAAACAGCAACAGAAGCUAUGCAAAGAAAAUGUUCUAAAACUAAUGAAUAUGGAUAUGCAAAUUAAAUUGGAAUUUAAAAGCUAAACAAAUCCUAAAAGCUAAAUGAAUAUGUACAUGUCAGAGGUAAUUGAAUUUUAAUGUUGCAUACAGAAUGGUAAAAUCUACACUAAAGAAAAGUCAACAAGAAAUACCUAUAACUAAUGAUUAAAGCAAAGAAUCAGGUGAGAAACGAAUCGGAACUAACUCUAACCAUUACAAACAGAGCAUAACCUAAACUACUAAACAGAACAAAAAUCAUUGGAUAAAAAUCACAAAUCUGAACUGAAAUGCUUGAAAUGGCCUAUCAAUUGAAUUAUUAUUAUACAGGAAGACAUCUCGUUCAUAAGUUACCCACCUCGGGGUCUAAAGUUCUAAUACAGAACUAAAAAUGAAUAACAAUCAAUUGAUUUACCAAAUCAAAACAGAUUCAAUUCCAAAUCCACAAACACAACUCACAAACAGAAACUAAAACAAUAUGAAUUAAAAUAUUUUUUAUGGAUUGAACUCUUAUCUGGCUCAAGAAGACAUCUCGUUCAUUUACGCCCACCUCGGGGUCGUGUAAUUUCAAAAA